rnacentral:rRNA from 1 species
CCUACGGGAGGCAGCAGUGAGGAAUAUUGGUCAAUGGGCUUACGCCUGAACCAGCCAAGUCGCGUGAGGGAAGACUGCCCUAUGGGUUGUAAACCUCUUUUGUCCGGGAGCAAUUGGCGCUACGUGUAGCGUUAUCGAGAUUACCUGCAGAAAAGGCAUCGCCUAAUUCCGUGCCAGCAGCCCCGGUAAUACGGAGGAUGCGAGCGUUAUCCGGUUUUAUUGGGUUUAAAGGGUGCGUAGCCGGAAUGCCAAGUCAGCGGUAAAGUCGCGGGGCUCAACCUCGCUCCGCCGUUGAUACUGGCGUUCUUGAGUGGGCGAGAAGUAUGCGGAAUGCGUGGUGUAGCGGUGAAAUGCAUAGAUAUCACGCAGAACUCCGAUUGCGAAGGCAGCAUACCGGCGCCCAACUGACGCUGAAGCACGAAAGCGUGGGUAUCGAACAGGAUUAGAUACCCGGGUAGUC